rnacentral:rRNA from 1 species
AUUGAACGCUGGCGGAAUGCUUUACACAUGCAAGUCGAACGGUAGAGGGGGCAACCCCUCGAGAGUGGCGAACGGGUGAGUAAUAUAUCGGAACGUGCCCAGUCGUGGGGGAUAACGUAGCGAAAGUUACGCUAAUACCGCAUACGAUCUAAGGAUGAAAGCGGGGUAUCGCAAGACCUCGCGCGAUUGGAGCGGCCGAUAUCAGAUUAGGUAGUUGGUGGGGUAAAGGCUCACCAAGCCAACGAUCUGUAGCUGGUCUGAGAGGACGACCAGCCACACUGGAACUGAGACACGGUCCAGACUCCUACGUGAGGCAGCAGUGGGGAAUUUUGGACAAUGGACGCAAGUCUGAUCCAGCCAUUCCGCGUGCAGGAUGAAGGCCCUCGGGUUGUAAACCGCUUUUGUACGGAACGAAAAGGUCUCUCUUAAUACGGGGGACUCAUGACGGUACCGUAAGAAUAAGCACCGGCUAACUACGUGCCAGCCGCCGCCGUAA